GAUGAAGAACGUAGCGAAAUGCGAUAAGUAAUGUGAAUUGCAGAAUUCAGUGAAUCAUCGAAUCUUUGAACGCACAUUGCGCCCCCUGGUAUUCCGGGGGGCAUGCCUGUUCGAGCGUCAUUUCACCACUCAAGCCUCGCUUGGUAUUGGGCAACGCGGUCCGCCGCGUGCCUCAAAUCGACCGGCUGGGUCUUCUGUCCCCUAAGCGUUGUGGAAACUAUUCGCUAAAGGGUGUUCGGGAGGCUACGCCGUAAAACAACCCCAUUUCUAAGGUUGACCUCGGAUCAGGUAGGGAUACCCGCUGAACUGAAGCAUAUCAAUAAGCGGAGGA
rnacentral:misc_RNA from 1 species